rnacentral:rRNA from 1 species
UACGUAGGGUGCGAGCGUUGUCCGGAAUUACUGGGCGUAAAGAGCUCGUAGGUGGUUUGUCGCGUUGUUCGUGAAAACUCACAGCUUAACUGUGGGCGUGCGGGCGAUACGGGCAGACUGGAGUACUGCAGGGGAGACUGGAAUUCCUGGUGUAGCGGUGGAAUGCGCAGAUAUCAGGAGGAACACCGGUGGCGAAGGCGGGUCUCUGGGCAGUAACUGACGCUGGAGGAGCGAAAAGCCGUGGGGGAGCGAAACAGG